rnacentral:rRNA from 1 species
AGCGAGCUGUGAUCCGGGGGUGUCCGAAUGGGGAAACCUGGAAUGUCCGGAGUAGUGUCCGGUGGCCCUGCCCUGAAUGUAUAGGGGUGUGGGUGGUAACGCGGGGAAGUGAAACAUCUUAGUACCCGUAGGAAGAGAAAACAAGUGUGAUUCCGUGAGUAGUGGCGAGCGAAAGCGGAGGAGGCUAAACCGUGUGUGUGUUCAAGCCGGCAGGUGUUGCAUGUGCGGGGUUGUGGGGGCCUUGUGGUUCUGCUGCCGCAGGAUUGGCCAGUGAGAAAUGUUGCGUGAA